AGGAGUGCUUGCUCUCGGGUGACGAGUGGCGGACGGGUGAGUAAUGUCUGGGAAACUGCCUGAUGGAGGGGGAUAACUACUGGAAACGGUAGCUAAUACCGCAUAACGUCGCAAGACCAAAGAGGGGGACCUUCGGGCCUCUUGCCAUCAGAUGUGCCCAGAUGGGAUUAGCUAGUAGGUGGGGUAACGGCUCACCUAGGCGACGAUCCCUAGCUGGUCUGAGAGGAUGACCAGCCACACUGGAACUGAGACACGGUCCAGACUCCUACGGGAGGCAGCAGUGGGGAAUAUUGCACAAUGGGCGCAAGCCUGAUGCAGCCAUGCCGCGUGUAUGAAGAAGGCCUUCGGGUUGUAAAGUACUUUCAGCGGGGAAGAAGGUGUUGUGGUUAAUAACCACAGCAAUUGACGUUUACCCGCAGAAGAAGCCACCGGCUAACUCCGUGCCAGCAGCCGCGGUAAUACGAAGGUGCAGCGUUAUCCGAAUUACUGGGCUUAACGCACGCAGCGUCUGUCAGUCGAUUUAAUCCCGGCUCACUGGACUGCUCAAACUGCAGCUAAUCUGUAAGGGUUAAUCAGUU
rnacentral:rRNA from 1 species